rnacentral:rRNA from 1 species
GGAUCAAUAUGUUUGUCGUGCCUUGGUACGUACUAGCUUAUUGAUUUCUCCCUUCUAACGAACCAUGAUGUCAUUAAUUUGGUGUCAUGGGGAAUUAGGACUGUUACUUUGAAAAAUUAGAGUGUUUAAAGCAGGCUCACGCUUGAAUACAUUAGCAUGGAAUAAUGAAAUAGGAUGUUUGAUUCUAUUUUGUUGGUUUCUAGGAUCGACAUAAUGAUUAAU